rnacentral:tRNA from 1 species
GCCCUUGUAGUUCAACGGAUAGAAUACCUGGCUUCGAACCAGGCGAUUGAGGUUCGAUUCCUCACGAGGGCACAA